AGUAACGCGUGAGGAACCUGCCUCAAAGAGGGGACAACAGUUGGAAACGACUGCUAAUACCGCAUAAGCCCACAGCUCGGCAUCGAGCAGAGGGAAAAGGAGUGAUCCGCUUUGAGAUGGCCUCGCGUCCGAUUAGCUGGUUGGUGAGGUAACGGCCCACCAAGGCGACGAUCGGUAGCCGGACUGAGAGGUUGAACGGCCACAUUGGGACUGAGACACGGCCCAG
rnacentral:rRNA from 1 species